rnacentral:snoRNA from 1 species
UUCCAAAGUGUUGAGUUCAGUUCAGGGCUGCUCCCCUGUUCUGUUAAUUAAACUUUGGGACAUUGAAACGCAGGCUGGGGAGGUGAUUGACCGGAGAGCGUGACUCUGUUCAUUGCCUCCUCGGCCGACAGAG